GACGAACGCUGGCGGCGUGCUUAACACAUGCAAGUCGAACGGAAAGGCCUCUUUCGGGGGGUACUCGAGUGGCGAACGGGUGAGUAACACGUGAGUAACCUGCCCUUGACUUUGGGAUAACUUCAGGAAACUGGGGCUAAUACCGGAUAGGAGCUCCUGCUGCAUGGUGGGGGUUGGAAAGUUUCGGCGGUUGGGGAUGGACUCGCGGCUUAUCAGCUUGUUGGUGGGGUAGUGGCUUACCAAGGCUUUGACGGGUAGCCGGCCUGAGAGGGUGACCGGCCACAUUGGGACUGAGAUACGGCCCAGACUCCUACGGGAGGCAGCAGUGGGGAAUAUUGCACAAUGGGUGGAAGCCUGAUGCAGCAACGCCGUGUGCGGGAUGACGGCCUUCGGGUUGUAAAGCGCUUUCGCUCAUGACGAAGCUUUGUGUGACGGUAGUGGGUAAAGAAGCACCGGCUAACUACGUG
rnacentral:rRNA from 1 species